GACGAACGCUGGCGGCGUGCUUAACACAUGCAAGUCGAACGGAAAGGCCCUGCUUUUGUGGGGUGCUCGAGUGGCGAACGGGUGAGUAACACGUGAGUAACCUGCCCUUGACUUUGGGAUAACUUCAGGAAACUGGGGCUAAUACCGGAUAGGAGCUCCUGCUGCAUGGUGGGGGUUGGAAAGUUUCGGCGGUUGGGGAUGGACUCGCGGCUUAUCAGCUUGUUGGUGGGGUAGUGGCUUACCAAGGCUUUGACGGGUAGCCGGCCUGAGAGGGUGACCGGCCACAUGGGGACUGAGAUAGGGACCAGAGUCGUACGGGAGGCAGCAGUGGGGAAUAUUGCACAACGGGGCGAAGCCUGAUGCAGCAACGCCGCGUGCGGGAUGACGGCCUUCGGGUUGUAAACCGCUUUCGGCUGUGACGAAGCGUGAGUGACGGUAAUGGGUAAAGAAGCACCGGCUAACUACGUG
rnacentral:rRNA from 1 species